rnacentral:rRNA from 1 species
GACGAACGCUGGCGGCGUGCUUAACACAUGCAAGUCGAACGGAAAGGCCCUGCUUUUGUGGGGUGCUCGAGUGGCGAACGGGUGAGUAACACGUGAGUAACCUGCCCUUGACUUUGGGAUAACUUCAGGAAACUGGGGCUAAUACCGGAUAGGAGCUCCUGCUGCAUGGUGGGGGUUGGAAAGUUUCGGCGGUUGGGGAUGGACUCGCGGCUUAUCAGCUUGUUGGUGAGGUAGUGGCUUACCAAGGCUUUGACGGGUAGCCGGCCUGAGAGGGUGACCGGCCACAUUGGGACUGAGAUACGGCCCAGACUCCUACGGGAGGCAGAAGCGGGGAAUAUUGCACAAUGGGCGGGAGCCUGAUGCAGCAACGCCGCGUGCGGGAUGACGGCCUUCGGGUUGUAAACCGCUUUCGCCUGUGACAAAGCGUGAGUGACGGUAAUGGGUAAAGAAGCACCGGCUAACUACGUG